GACGAACGCUGGCGGCGUGCCUAAUACAUGCAUGUCGAGCGAAUGGAUUAAGAGCUUGCUCUUAUGAAGUUAGCGGCGGACGGGUGAGUAACACGUGGGUAACCUGCCCAUAAGACUGGGAUAACUCCGGGAAACCGGGGCUAAUACCGGAUAACAUUUUGAACCGCAUGGUUCGAAAUUGAAAGGCGGCUUCGGCUGUCACUUAUGGAUGGACCCGCGUCGCAUUAGCUAGUUGGUGAGGUAACGGCUCACCAAGGCAACGAUGCGUAGCCGACCUGAGAGGGUGAUCGGCCACACUGGGACUGAGACACGGCCCAGACUCCUACGGGAGGCAGCAGUAGGGAAUCUUCCGCAAUGGACGAAAGUCUGACGGAGCAACGCCGCGUGAGUGAUGGAGGCUUUCGGGUCGUAAAACUCUGUUGUUAGGGAAGAACAAGUGCUAGUUGAAUAAGCUGGCACCUUGACGGUACCUAACCAGAAAGCCACGGCUAACUACGUGCCAGCAGCCGCAGUAA
rnacentral:rRNA from 1 species